CCAGACUCCUACGGGAGGCAGCAGUGGGGAAUAUUGCACAAUGGGGGAAACCCUGAUGCAGCGACGCCGCGUGAGCGAAGAAGUACCUCGGUAUGUAAAGCUCUAUCGGCAGGGAAGAAGAUGACGGUACCUGACCAAGAAGCUCCGGCUAAAUACGUGCCAGCAGCCGCGGUAAUACGUAUGGAGCAAGCGUUAUCCGGAUUUACUGGGUGUAAAGGGAGCGUAGACGGCCAGACAAGUCAGAAGUGAAAGCCCAGGGCUCAACCCUGGGACUGCUUUUGAAACUGCCGGGCUGGAGUGCAGGAGAGGUAAGCGGAAUUCCUAGUGUAGCGGUGAAAUGCGUAGAUAUUAGGAGGAACACCAGUGGCGAAGGCGGCUUACUGGACUGUAACUGACGUUGAGGCUCGAAAGCGUGGGGAGCAAACAGGAUUAGAUACCCCAGUACG
rnacentral:rRNA from 1 species